GUUUGAUCCUGGCUCAGACUGAACGCUGGCGGCAUGCCUUACACAUGCAAGUCGAACGGCAGCACGGGAGCAAUCCUGGUGGCGAGUGGCGAACGGGUGAGUAAUAUAUCGGAACGUGCCCAGUCGUGGGGGAUAACGCAGCGAAAGCUGUGCUAAUACCGCAUACGAUCUACGGAUGAAAGCGGGGGAUCGCAAGACCUCGCGCGAUUGGAGCGGCCGAUAUCAGAUUAGCUAGUUGGUGAGGUAAAGGCUCACCAAGGCGACGAUCUGUAGCUGGUCUGAGAGGACGACCAGCCACACUGGAACUGAGACACGGUCCAGACUCCUACGGGAGGCAGCAGUGGGGAAUUUUGGACAAUGGGCGCAAGCCUGAUCCAGCAAUGCCGCGUGCAGGAUGAAGGCCUUCGGGUUGUAAACUGCUUUUGUACGGAACGAAACGGUCCUUUCUAAUACAAGGGGCUAAUGACGGUACCGUAAGAAUAAGCACCGGCUAACUACGUGCCAGCAGCCGCGGUAAUACGUAGGGUGCGAGCGUUAAUCGGAAUUACUGGGCGUAAAGCGUGCGCAGGCGGUUAUAUAAGACAGAUGUGAAAUCCCCGGGCUCAACCUGGGACCUGCAUUUGUGACUGUAUAGCUAGAGUACGGUAGAGGGGGAUGGAAUUCCGCGUGUAGCAGUGAAAUGCGAAAUAUGCGGAGGAACACCGAUGGCGAAGGCAAUCCCUGGACCGCACUGACGCUCAUGCACGAAAGCGUGGGGAGCAAACAGGAUUAGAUACCCUGGUAGUCCACGCCUAAACAAUUCAAAUGGUGGUUGGUCUUCCCUGACCAGUANCAACCUAACGCGUGAAUUUGACCGCCUGGGAAGUACGGCCGCAAGCUUGAAACUCAAAGGAAUUGACGGGGACCCACACAAGCGGUGGAUGAUGUGGUUUAAUUCGAUGCAACGCCAAAAACCUUACCCACCUUUGACAUGUACGGAAUUUGCCACAGAUGGCUUAGUGCUCGAAAGAGAACCGUAACACAGGUGCUGCAUGGCUGUCGUCAGCUCGUGUCGUGAGAUGUUGGGUUAAGUCCCGCAACGAGCGCAACCCUUGUCAUUAGUUGCUACAUUUAGUUGGGCACUCUAAUGAGACUGCCGGUGACAAACCGGAGGAAGGUGGGGAUGACGUCAAGUCCUCAUGGCCCUUAUAGGUGGGGCUACACACGUCAUACAAUGGCUGGUACAAAGGGUUGCCAACCCGCGAGGGGGAGCUAAUCCCAUAAAGCCAGUCGUAGUCCGGAUCGCAGUCUGCAACUCGACUGCGUGAAGUCGGAAUCGCUAGUAAUCGUGGAUCAGAAUGUCACGGUGAAUACGUUCCCGGGUCUUGUACACACCGCCCGUCACACCAUGGGAGCGGGUUCUGCCAGAAGUAGUUAGCCUAACCGCAAGGAGGGCGAUUACCACGGCAGGGUUCGUGACUGGGGUGAAGUCGUAACAAGGUAUCC
rnacentral:rRNA from 1 species